AGCUCGUGUCGUGAGACGUUGGGUUAAGUCCCCUAACGAGCGAAACCCUUGUCUUUAGUUGCCAACAGGUAAUGCUGGGCACUCUAAAGAAACUGCCGUCGUCAAGACGGAGGAAGGUGGGGAUGACGUCAAGUCAUCAUGGCCCUUAUAUCCCGGGCUGCACACGUGCUACAAUGGUCGGUACAAAGGGAUGCUAAGCCGCAAGGUGGAGCGAAACCCAGAAAGCCGAUCCCAGUUCAGAUUGGAGGCUGAAACCCGCCUCCAUGAAGUAGGAAUCGCUAGUAAUCGCGGAUCAG
rnacentral:rRNA from 1 species